UACGGAGGGGGCAAGCGUUAUCCGGAAUGAUUGGGCGUAAAGCGUCCGUAGGUGGUUUUUCCAGUCGGCUGUUAAAGAGCAAAGCUCAACUUUGUAAAGGCAGUGGAAACUGAAAGACUAGAGAGCCGUAGGGGUAGAGGGAAUUCCCGGUGUAGCGGUGAAAUGCGUAGAGAUCGGGAAGAACACCGGUGGCGAAAGCGCUCUACUGGACGGGAUCUGACACUAACAGGACGAAAGCUAGGGGAGCGAAUGGG
rnacentral:rRNA from 1 species